GAAUUUUGGACAAUGGGCGACAGCCUGAUCCAGCAAUGCCGCGUGCAGGAUGAAGUCCUUCGGGUUGUAAACUGCUUUUGUACGGAACGAAAAGCUUUGGGUUAAUACCCUGGCUUCAUUACGGUACCGUCAUAAUAAGCACCGGCUAACUCCGUGCCCGCAGCCGCGGUAAUACGUAGGGUGCAAGCGUUAAUCGGAAUUACUGGGCGGAAAGCGUGCGCAGGCGGUUUUGGAAGACAGAGGUGAAAUCCCCGGGCUCAACCUGGGAACUGCCUUUGUGACUGCAAGGCUAGAGUACGGCAGAGGGGGGUGGAAUUCCGCGUGUAGCAGUGAAAUGCGUAGAUAUGCGGAGGAACACCGAUGGCGAAGGCAACCCCCUGGGCCUGUACUGACGCUCAUGCACGAAAGCGUGGGGAGCAAA
rnacentral:rRNA from 1 species